rnacentral:pre_miRNA from 1 species
UUAGCUGAUAUUUGUAUGGAAUGGGAUCGUUUGCCUACGUUUGCCGCUAGGGGCGCUGUUCCAACUGCAUACAAAAUUGGGUUA